rnacentral:rRNA from 1 species
UACGAAGGGGGCUAGCGUUGCUCGGAAUUACUGGGCGUAAAGCGCACGUAGGCGGAUUGUUAAGUCGGGGGUGAAAUCCUGGAGCUCAACUCCAGAACUGCCUUCGAAACUGGCGAUCUUGAGUCCGGGAGAGGUGAGUGGAACUGCGAGUGUAGAGGUGAAAUUCGUAGAUAUUCGCAAGAACACCAGUGGCGAAGGCGGCUCACUGGCCCGAUACUGACGCUGAGGUGCGAAAGCGUGGGGAGCAAACAGGG